rnacentral:rRNA from 1 species
ACGUAGGUGGCAAGCGUUGUCCGGAAUUAUUGGGCGUAAAGCGCGCGCAGGCGGUCCUUUAGGUCUGAUGUGAAAGCCCACGGCUCAACCGUGGAGGGUCAUUGGAAACUGGGGGACUUGAGUGCAGAAGAGGAAAGUGGAAUUCCCGGUGUAGCAGUGAAAUGCGUAGAGAUCGGGAGGAACACCAGUGGCGAAGGCGACUGUCUGGGGAGCAACUGACGCUGAGGCGCGAAAGCCAGGGUAGCAAACGGGA